UAGCUUAUUCAAAGCCCCUCGCUUACACCGAAAGAAAGUCUGUUAAACUCAGACUGCUUCGA
rnacentral:tRNA from 1 species